ACUCUUACCCCUCCCAUUAUAUAAAUCCUUCAACCUACAGCCUUACAUACACACUUAUCUUCCAUGUUUCAUCUUAAUUACAUUUCAUUAUUUCAUCAUACAGAGAAACAACAAUACCCUGAUGAGAAAACUAAGUCCGAGGUGAGAUGAUGAGAGAACACAGAGAAAACCAAAGCGACGGUGAGUGCGAGGGUUUUCAACGGCGAGAAGUGAGUUAUAGAAAAAGAAACGUCCAACAUCUCCAAGAGAGUUAUAAAAUAAUUCCGACAUUGCAUACUCCUUUGGCUUGAUUUUGUUCAUAUUAAGAUGUUCAAUCUUGCAUUUUUUUUGUUCGGAUUAUUCCUUUUCAAAUUGAUAUAUGGAUUACGGUUCAAUUAGAUUAUGGAAUUAUUAUUGAUUCAUGCUUUCUUGAUUAUGACAAGUUCCAACUAGUUUUUUUGACAUACAUUGGUUUGGCUCUAUUUUUGUACUUGUUAUAAGAACAAAAAAUAUUAAAAGUAUAUAGUAUACCUGUUAGAAUCCUCUAAGCGGUUCUCCAAAAUUGAAGAGGGAGCCAUUGUUAUUGUUAGUUUUAAUAUAAUGUGUCACUGAUCUAUCACUUGCGUUUGACUUUAUCAGUUGUAUAUAACUUGUGUAUGGCUCAAUAUAAAGCUAAGAUUACCCUCCAAGACAUGGUCCCUUUCAGUCUUGUCAUCUAUGACUUGUUCCAUUUCCUCCAUCAGGUGAUGGAGUUUCAUUAUCCUUCUUUUCUCCUCUAAGUAAUUUUCAAAGCACCUCUUCAUAUGAUAUAUACUCUGCCUCAAUGCAUCCAGCAUGUUCUCUGUUAUAGAAUUUGUGCGCUUCAACUUCAGUGUUGAAGAAGAAGCAGCAGCCAUUUCUGAAAAAGUUCCUGUCACAAAACAAUAGCUCAUCUUCAGGCUGCAUGUUUCUUCAACACAUCUGACAAAUUGAUUUCACAUCUUUAAAACCAAAUUCAGUUGGCAGAUGCAAAAGAUGUAUUGGAAGGCAUUUAAGAUGCGAAAGGUAUUAGUUUUCCUAUAUUAACUCCAAACCUCAAAGUAAGAUAUAUAUGCUUUAAAAAUUAUUAUUUCCAUCAUAGUAAGUUAUAUAAUCAGCCAUUUGACUAAUUUGAACUCUGUGGUUUGAGUUCUAUUUAUUUUUUUUUUGCUAAAUUCUGUGAUUUAAAUUCUGUUUAUUUUAUUUCUCAAAUAAAUUGUUGCUUCAACUUGGUGGGUGCUUUUCUCCAUAUAUAUGCAUGCUCGAUUGAUUAUUUUUUAGCAUACCAUUCAUGAUGGAGGAGAUGUUCUGGUCUAUGAGUGACAUCAGACUAUCAGAUAUAGAAGUGGAUCCACUACCAAUCUUCAAUCAAAGAUGAGUAGUGAGACAGAAUUGUGCUGUAUCUGCUUUGAGCAAGUUUGCACAAUUGAAGUCCAACAUUGUGGCCACCAAAUGUGUGCACAAUGGAUACUAGCAUGGAAAGAAUGAUAUACUGUAUAAUGUAAUAUAUUGAAAAGUAAGCAAAGUUACUUGAGAAUGAAGAAGCAUCACCUGCAUCGAUGAUUUUGGGCAUGAUCAAAUCAAAUGGAUAUUGUGUAUAAUUAAGUAUUCAAGUAAAGUGAGAAAUUCUUUUUCUCGGCAAGUAGCCAGAAAGUCUAAGAUCAUGUGAAAAUAUAUUGUAUUUGCUUCUUAUUUGUUUGUGUAUCAAAAUAUUCAAUAAUCAAUAAU